rnacentral:tRNA from 1 species
GGCAGUGUGGCCUGGUGGGCAGAGCACUGGACUGGCGCUCAGACCUGGGUUCUAUUCCCGGCUCUGCCA